GUCUGGGAAACUGCCUGAUGAGGGGGAGUAACUACUGGAAACGGUAGCUAAUACCGCAUAACGUCGCAAGACCAAAGAGGGGGACCUUCGGGCCUCUUGCCAUCGGAUGUGCCCAGAUGGGAUUAGCUAGUAGGUGGGGUAACGGCUCACCUAGGCGACGAUCCCUAGCUGGUCUGAGAGGAUGACCAGCCACACUGGAACUGAGACACGGUCCAGACUCCUACGGGAGGCAGCAUG
rnacentral:rRNA from 1 species